rnacentral:rRNA from 1 species
UGGGGAAUAUUAGGCAAUGGGGGAAACCCUGACCUAGCCAUGCCGCGUGCGUGAAGAAGGUCUUAGGAUUGUAAAGCGCUUUCAGCGGGGGAAGAUGAUGACGGUACCCGCAGAAGAAGCCCCGGCUAACUCCGUGCCAGCAGCCGCGGUAAUACGGAGGGGGCUAGCGUUGUUCGGAAUUACUGGGCGUAAAGGGCGUGUAGGCGGCCAAUUAAGUCAGAGGUGAAAUCCCCGAGCUCAACUUGGGAACUGCCUUUGAUACUGGUUGGCUAGAGUUCGGGAGAGGGUAGUGGAAUUCCCAGUGUAGAGGUGAAAUUCGUAGAUAUUGGGAAGAACACCAGUGGCGAAGGCGGCUACCUGGACCGAUACUGACGCUGAGGCGCGAAAGCGUGGGGAAGCAAACAGGAUUAGAUACCCUGGUAGUCCACGCCGUAAACGAUGUCUGCUAGUCGUUGGGGGAGCAUAGCUCUUCGGUGACGCAGCUAACGCAUUAAGCAGACCGCCUGGGGAGUACGGCCGCAAGGUUAAAACUCAAAUGAAUUGACGG